AUUGAAACACUAGUUCCCUUACAAGCACCUAAGUUAAGCAACAUUGAGCCUGGUCAGUACCUAGCUGGAUAACUGCUUGGGAAUACCAGGCGCUGUU